UAUUUAGCGAUCCCUGAAGAAUUUUUACAGUUUCAAUAAUUCACCUCUGAAGUAUUUAAUUGUCCAAUCAACACCUUACCUCCACCAUACCCUAUACUCCUACAAGCCACCUUAUGCCUACCCCCAAGUUCAGCUUUUUGCCAUACCUCCUGCACUCCUUGUCAAUUCAAAGGUUACAAUACAACCAAGCUUCCAUCCUUCCAUCUCCACACGAAACAUUCACAAGUCACAAAUCUUAAGUCCAGCCAAGAAUAGCAGAGCAACCAAGCAACGGCCAUUUCAGAUUUUGAGCAGCUCACUCAAACUCAAGGCUUUGUGACCAGGGGGAUUAGCGCUGCUUUCCAAAGACAGGUUUUUAUGUGUAUGAUCUUCAGGCUUUGCCUAUCCAGGUGGGCUUACUUUCCAAAUGUAUAAAGUAUGAUUGAGUUAUUAAGCUCUAAAUGUUUCAAUUAAAUGCAAAUUAUUUAUUCAAUGAAAUGAAAACUGUUUAUCCAAUAAAAUGUUUAUGUGCACUCUGCUCUGUUUAAGGCUCGCAAAGUUAAUCAAUUGAGGUUCUCUUAUGACCUAACAUGUUGUUUGAGAAUCGUGUACACAUGCUAGUUGAUCUGGUGGGUUGAUCUCCAUCGGGCACUGGCCAGAGGCGUUAUAAGGGUGCUCGACGGGAUGUGUUCCGGAGCAUGUAUCAUGUAAGGCCUGCCUGGGUAGCGUCCCGAGGUCAAUUCAACUUGUCUGAGUUACGUCCUCAGGGCAAGUGCAAUGGGAGAAAUGGAUCCGUCGGUGGCUAAAAGGUCCGGGAUCACAGCGAGUAACGGAAAAUGAGUGUGACAUGUGCGCACAAAUGAAAAAUGUUUUAACAUGCUUAGAAGUUCUUUCAAUUUAAAACCUUCUAAGUCAUGUCAAGUAUGAUUGGAUAAACUGCUCUUACGAAAAUAUGAAAUGUUUAUGAAAAUGCAUGCCCACUGAGUACAUUAGUACUUAGCCCAAAAAUACUUUCAAAUGUUUUCAGGUUGGCUGGCCGGUGCUGACGGGACUGAGCUGAGGCUAGGGUUCAACUUCCUUUUAAGACUUCCGCUGUAGCAGUAAAUAAUAUUUUGUCUUUUGUUUUCUCAACUUAAGACUUUCAUAUCAUAUUUAGAAUGACAUCUAUGAUUGAGCCUAAGCACUUAACUCCUAGUUUUAUGCUAAUGAAUAUUGGAUAUCAGAAGCAUGAAACAAAACUUGUGAUCCAAAGGGGCCUAGCCCGACUCGUUAUCUUAUUAUUCGAGUUUUAACAAGGUUGUUCCUUGUUUAUUUCUAUGAA